UACGAAGGGGGCUAGCGUUGCUCGGAAUCACUGGGCGUAAAGCGCACGUAGGCGGGUUCUUAAGUCGGUGGUGAAAUCCUGGAGCUCAACUCCAGAACUGCCUCCGAUACUGAGAGCCUCGAGUCCGGGAGAGGUGAGUGGAACUGCGAGUGUAGAGGUGAAAUUCGUAGAUAUUCGCAAGAACACCAGUGGCGAAGGCGGCUCACUGGCCCGGUACUGACGCUGAGGUGCGAAAGCGUGGGGAGCAAACGGG
rnacentral:rRNA from 1 species